AAAGGAAUAGACGGGGGCCCGCACAAGCGGUGGAGCAUGUGGCUUAAUUCGAUGCAACGCGAAGAACCUUACCAGGCCUUGACAUGCACCGGACCGCUCCUGAAAGGGAGCUUUCCUUCGGGACCGGUGCACAGGUGCUGCAUGGCUGUCGUCAGCUCGUGUCGUGAGAUGUUGCGUUAAGUCGCGCAACGAGCGCAACCCCUAUUCCUAGUUGCCAUCAUUCAGUUGGGGACUCUAGGAAGACAAACCCUCUUUGAGGGUGGGAAGGUGGGGAUGACGUCAAGUCAGGAUGGCCCUUACGGCCUGGGCUGCACACGUGCUACAAUGCCCGAUACAGAGGGAUGCAAGACCGCGAGGUGGAGCUAAUCCUCAAAGUCGGGCUCAGUUCAGAUUGCAGUCUGCAACUCGACUGCAUGAAGCUGGAAUCGCUAGUAAUGGUGCAUCAGCUACGGCACCGUGAAUACGUUCCCGGGCCUUGUACACACCGCCCGU
rnacentral:rRNA from 1 species